UUUGGGGUAAACAUAUCACUGUAUAAAGACUAAACAAAAAAAAUAAGAGAUUAACAACAACUUGUUUUUGUUUUUUUUUGUUUUUUGAACAACAGCAACAACUUGUUUGACAUUAGUUUUGAAAUGACAUCAUUCCUUACAUCCUUGCCCCUAUUCGAAAUGGUCUUAUUAAUACAAUAUAUGCGGACCAACUAGGCCGGCUGUCAUGUAAAGGAUGAUUAGUAUAUAAUUUGUAUGAUGCGGUGAUCGUGCCGAUGACCGGCUAUAAUGUAAAGGAUGAUUAGUAUAUAAUUUUUAGGGACACUUUGGAUGCGGUCCCUAGCUAUCAACAUAAACCUUGUUAGUUUUUAGUUUUUUAUUGAGGUCCCUGAUAUUAAUGUAAUAAUGUAAGUUACUAUAUUUUUUUAAUUAAAAAUUAAAAAUUGAAAUUUGUAAUGGUUUAUAUUAAUGAGAUUUUAAAUAAAACCCAUAAUUUAUGGGAUUAAAAAUAAUAAAAUAUAAAUUAUUCUCUCUAUUAUAUUUUGUGUGUGUGUGUGUGUAUAUAUAUAUACAUAUAUGUAUGGGUACAUUAACCAAAAUUAACAAAAAAAAUUAUUGUACCAAAACAUGGAUACAUUGUCAAAUCAACGAAAAAGAAUGUACCCAUAUAAGUUAAAACAUGGAUUAAAAAAUUUGAAUGGAUUUUAUAUUAAAAAAGGGUACAUUUUACAUAUAACAAAUUGAUAUACUUGAGAAUGGGUACAUUUAAGAUUAAAAAAAUUGAAAAAUUAUAUGAAUGGGUACAUUUAAGAUUAAAAAAUUGAGAAUCUUUUUAUAUAUAUAAAAAAAAAACUAAUAGGUACAAACUUAAUUUAAUUUAAUUUUUUUAUUAUUUUGGAAAUGUUUGAAUUGAAAAUU
rnacentral:lncRNA from 1 species